GUGAGUGGCGAACUGGUGAGUAACACGUGGGAAACCUGCCCAGAAGCGGGGGAUAACACCUGGAAACAGAUGCUAAUACCGCAUAACAACUUGGACCGCAUGGUCCGAGUUUGAAAGAUGGCUUCGGCUAUCACUUUUGGAUGGUCCCGCGGCGUAUUAGCUAGAUGGUGAGGUAACGGCUCACCAUGGCAAUGAUACGUAGCCGACCUGAGAGGGUAAUCGGCCACAUUGGGACUGAGACACGGCCCAAACUCCUACGGGAGGCAGCAGUAGGGAAUCUUCCACAAUGGACGAAAGUCUGAUGGAGCAACGCCGCGUGAGUGAAGAAGGGUUUCGGCUCGUAAAACUCUGUUGUUAAAGAAGAACAUAUCUGAGAGUAACUGUUCAGGUAUUGACGGUAUUUAACCAGAAAGCCACGGCUAACUACGUGCCAGCAGCCGCGGUAAUACGUAGGUGGCAAGCGUUGUCCGGAUUUAUUGGGCGUAAAGCGAGCGCAGGCGGUUUUUUAAGUCUGAUGUGAAAGCCUUCGGCUCAACCGAAGAAGUGCAUCGGAAACUGGGAAACUUGAGUGCAGAAGAGGACAGUGGAACUCCAUGUGUAGCGGUGAAAUGCGUAGAUAUAUGGAAGAACACCAGUGGCGAAGGCGGCUGUCUGGUCUGUAACUGACGCUGAGGCUCGAAAGUAUGGGUAGCAAACAGGAUUAGAUACCCUGGUAGUCCAUACCGUAAACGAUGAAUGCUAAGUGUUGGAGGGUUUCCGCCCUUCAGUGCUGCAGCUAACGCAUUAAGCAUUCCGCCUGGGGAGUACGGCCGCAAGGCUGAAACUCAAAGGAAUUGACGGGGGCCCGCACAAGCGGUGGAGCAUGUGGUUUAAUUCGAAGCUACGCGAAGAACCUUACCAGGUCUUGACAUACUAUGCAAAUCUAAGAGAUUAGACGUUCCCUUCGGGGACAUGGAUACAGGUGGUGCAUGGUUGUCGUCAGCUCGUGUCGUGAGAUGUUGGGUUAAGUCCCGCAACGAGCGCAACCCUUAUUAUCAGUUGCCAGCAUUAAGUUGGGCACUCUGGUGAGACUGCCGGUGACAAACCGGAGGAAGGUGGGGAUGACGUCAAAUCAUCAUGCCCCUUAUGACCUGGGCUACAACGUGCUACAAUGGAUGGUACAACGAGUUGCGAACUCGCGAGAGUAAGCUAAUCUCUUAAAGCCAUUCUCAGUUCGGAUUGUAGGCUGCAACUCGCCUACAUGAAGUCGGAAUCGCUAGUAAUCGCGGAUCAGCAUGCCGCGGUGAAUACGUUCCCGGGCCUUGUACACACCGCCCGUCACACCAU
rnacentral:rRNA from 1 species